ensembl:rRNA 5S_rRNA 5S ribosomal RNA
AUCUACGGUAAUACCACCCUGAUACUCAAAGCUAAUCAGGGUCGGGCCUUGCAACUAUUUGGAUGGGAGAGCAUCUGGGAAUACCAGCUGCUAUAGGCU